CUGUGUCUCUAGAGAUGGGGGGUGAAGCUGUGUCUCUAGAGAUGGGGGGUGAAGCUGUGUCUCUAGAGAUGGGGGGUGAAGCUGUGUCUCUAGAGAUGGGGGGUGAAGCUAUGUCUCUAGAGAGUACACUAGUAAAAAGCCUUCCUGCCCAUCUCUCUCUCUGACUGGCUGUAACAUGUCAAUCAUUUCAUCUAGAAGCUCUCUGCAAUAAAAACCCUCUCCCUCACGUUAGGACCAAAAUAAAGAGAUGCACACACACCCAUCAAAGAACCCAGCCAGCCAUUAACAAACCAGCCUAGUCAUUUAGCAUCUUUCAAUUCCUAUUAAGAUGUUGCAGUUGCACGGCCUGCCAUUCAGAGAAUUCAGGGAGAUUCUCACAUAUGCAGUCCAAUAUGGACUACAGUGCCCAUAAUGCUACACCCACUAGUGUAGCAUUUAACCUCUGACCCCUAGUUCAGGUACCCAUGACGACACCAUAGCCAUCCAGCCUCUCUCAUACACCCAUUUGAACCUCAGCAGCCAGUUAGUUAGUUUAACCUCUGCAACCGCUAUCUAUCUUCUAUCAAUGGCAUGGCCUUAUAGACUGAGUGUACAAAACAUGAAAUAACAUUACUUAGACUGACCAGGUAUGGCAGUAGGUGCAAGACGCACUGGUUUGUUUGAAGAAUUGGAACGCUGCCAGGGUUUUUCAUGCUCAACAGUUUCCUGUGUGUAUCAAGAAUGGUCCAGCACCCAAACGACAUCCAGCCAAAUUGACACAAUUGUAGGAAGCAUUGGAGUCAAUAUGGGCCAGCAUCCCUGUGGAACGUUUUUGACACCUUGUAGAGUCCAUGGGGGUGCAACUAAGUGUGUAUAUAUAUAUAUAUAGAAGGUGUUCGUAAUGUUUUGUACACUCAGUAUAUGUGCAACUGCCUAUUUCUUCCCCCAGCACAGUUUCCUUCCACACUCUAGUUCCCCCACACACAGUCACGCUGUAUAUUGUUUAGAGACAUAUUAAGUAACAGUGUUCAUGCUCCAGUGGAAAUUGUUGCGUGUUGAGAUUAGUGUGACGUGAACCCAGAGAUUCAACUGUUUAAACACACACACACAGGAAUCCACAUCCGCCCGAUCCUCGAUAUCAGCUUAGCUCAGCAUCACAAUCAAAGCAGUGUGUCAAGUUAGUUGGAGGUGUGAGAGGCCUAGUGGACAGGGUCAGAGGCCUAGUGGACAGGACAGGGUCAGAGGUCUAGUGGACAGGACAGGGUCAGAGGCCUAGUGGACAGGACAGGGUCAGAGGCCUAGUGGACAGGACAGGGUCAGAGGCCUAGUGGACAGGGUCAGAGGCCUAGUGGACAGGACAGGGUCAGAGGCCUAGUGGACAGGGUCAGAGGCCUAGUGGACUGGACAGGGUCAGAGGCCUAGUGGACAGGGUCAGAGGCCUAGUGGACAGGACUGGGUCAGAGGCCUAGUGGACAGGACAGGGUCAGAGGCCUAGUGGACAGGACAGGGUCAGAGGCCUAGUGGACAGGGUCAGAGGCCUAGUGGACAGGACAGGGUCAGAGGCCUAGUGGACAGGGUCAGAGGCCUAGUGGACAGGACAGGGUCAGGGGCCUAGUGGACAGGACAGGGUCAGAGGUCUAGUGGACAGGACAGGGUCAGAGGCCUAGUGGACAGGGUCAGAGGCCUAGUGGACAGGGCGGGGUCAGAGGCCUAGUGGACAGGACAGGGUCAGAGGCCUAGUGGACAGGACAGGGUCAGAGGCCUAGUGGACAGGGUCAGAGGCCUAGUGGACAGGGCGGGGUCAGAGGCCUAGUGGACGGACAGGGUCAGAGGCCUAGUGGGACAGGGUCAGGGGCCUAGUGAGGACAGGGUCAGAGGCCUAGUGGACAGGACAGGGUCAGAGGCCUAGUGGACAGGACAGGGUCAGAGGCCUAGUGGACAGGGUCAGAGGCCUAGUGGACAGGGCAGGGUCAGAGGCCUAGUGGACAGGACAGGCUCAGGGGCCUCGUGGACAGGACAGGGUCAGAGGCCUAGUGGACAGGACAGGGUCAGAGGCCUAGUGGACAGGACAGGGGCCUAGUGUACAGGACAGGGUCAGAGGCCUAGUGGACAGGACAGGGUCAGAGGCCUAGUGAACAGGACAGGGUCAGAGGCCUAGUGGACAGGGUCAGAGGCCUAGUGGACAGGACAGGGUCAGAGGCCUAGUGGACAGGACAGGGUCAGAGGCCUAGUGGACAGGGUCAGGGGCCUAGUGGGACAGGGUCAGAGGCCUAGUGGAAGGACGGGCUAGUGUACAGGACAGGGUCAGAGGCCUAGUGGACAGGACAGGGUCAGAGGCCUAGUGGACAGGGUCAGAGGCCUAGUGGACAGGACAGGGUCAGAGGCCUAGUGGACAGGACAGGGUCAGAGGCCUAGUGGACAGGACAGGGUCAGAGGCCUAGUGGACAGGACAGGGUCAGAGGCCUAGUGGACAGGACAGGGUCAGAGGCCUAGUGGACAGGGCGGGGUCAGAGGCCUAGUGGACAGGACAGGGUCAGAGGCCUAGUGGACAGGGUCAGAGGCCUAGUGGACAGGGUCAGAGGCCUAGUGGACAGGACAGGUAAAUUGUAGAGGACAGGCGUCAAAGUAAGGGUCAUGCAGUAAGGAGAUUUAGUAUAAUGUAUAUUAAGGUAAGGUUGUAUUAAAGUUGUACUACGGUUGUGGGAGGAUAAAAUACAGAUGCAGGGGAGAGCAGAGUUUGUGAAAACUACACAUUGUUAGUCUGCCGUUAUUUUUUAUUUCUAGUUCAGGAAAUCCCAGGUAGUCACCGUUGUUAUCAGGAUAAUGAUUCCUGUUGCCUUUGGAAUCAUACUGUAUGUGCAAUAGUUGUCUUUGUUGAUCAUUUUUCUCUCCAAAGUGUGUGUAGCAUUGUCCGUCUGAUGUUUGUUAGCCAUGUACCGUAUGUCUUUGUUCGUACCCCUUUAAUUUGGUCCUAAAAUAUCUUCAAUCUCAUUAGACUCACGCUAGACUGAUUCAGGAAGGAUUAGUGCAGAGUAGGUGAAUGAAAAUGGAGAUGGACAGAGCGUGUUGUCUGUGUGUGUAGCUGAAACCAGUCAGGAUAUGCAGGCCUGCCGCUAUGUAGAAGUUUGUUUUUGACCUCACUGAAUGGAAUUGUUCGUCAGUCAACGCUCCAGCUAGCAGUUCAUUUGUAGUCAGCCUCUCUAUUUCAACACUGUAAAUUCUACAUUCUGCAGUCCAGGAAAACUAUGUCAGUCCCAAAAAAGUUGUAUAAAAUAAAAAUAUGAAAAGGAGAAAAAAAGGUGGAAGUCAGAAAGAAAGACAGAGACAGGCUCUUGGCUAUGGAGAGGUAUACUGUACUUGGGGUUGCAAAGCUACUGGAAAUUUACCAAAGUUACCGGAAUCUUCAGAAAUGUUGGUAAUUAACAGAAAAUGUAUGUCAAUCUAUCAUAACUUUGGUAAUUUAUAUUGAAUAACUUUUUAAAAAAGGUAUUCAUAUAUAGUAUUAUUUUUUAUAUAUAUAUAUAUAUAUCUGUAUCCAUAUUAUCCAUGAGUUUCUAGUAGAUAGACCGUAUGGUUCAAGGAAAAAAGUUCCUAAUUAAUGAAAAGAGUGUCUAAUCAACAAUGGCAUUAUUUUCAAUUGACUCUGCAACUAGUGACUUUCUUCACAACUGCCCCCAGUUUGACACCAAAACAUUGACAACAAAUAUAUAUUGACAUAGUCUACUAAAUGAAACUGUGUAAAAAACAAAAUGAUGGAUAUUUCAUAUUUUCAUACUGAAACGCCAAUGUUAUUCUCUAAAUUGAUGGUUUAUAUUUAAGAUGAUGUUUUACAGCUUUUUUGUAAUUAUAAUUUUUUAAAAUAUUAUUAUUUAAUAUAUUUCACAUGUGACAAGGCCAGCGAGAGGGCCAGAGAUAAUAACAGACACCUGUGAUAUCUGAAAUACCCCAAAGGGCCACUAGAUGUCUGGUGAUAAAUGACAUAAAAUCCUUGAAAGAUACCAAAAUUCUGGUAGGUUACUGGCAAAAUGUGAAUGUUUCCGGUAAUAUACCCUCCAUUUGCAACCUUAACUGUACUUGCUUGGCAAGACCUUCUUGGGAUGCUUGUGGUGUAGUGUGUGGUGAGAGGUGGUAUGAUGGUAGUACUAUGAUGUCAGUAGUAGAGAUGUGUAGUGAGACAUGGUAUGAUGGUAGUACUAUGAUAGGUAGUAGAGAUGUGUAGUGAGACAUGGUAUGAUGGUAGUACUAUGAUAGGUAGUAGUAGAGAUGUGUAGUGAGAGAUGGUAUGAUGGUAGUACUAUGAUGUCAGUAGUAGAGAUGUGUAGUGAGACAUGGUAUGAUGGUAGUACUAUGAUAGGUCAGUAGUAGAGAUGUGUAGUGAGACAUGGUAUGAUGGUAGUACUAUGAUAGGUAGUAGUAGAGAUGUGUAGUGAGACAUGGUAUGAUGGUAGUACUAUGAUGUCAGUAGUAGAGAUGUGUAGUGAGAGGUGGUAUGAUGGUAGUACUAUGAUAGGUAGUAGAGAUGUGUAGUGAGACAUGGUAUGAUGGUAGUACUAUGAUAGGUAGUAGAGAUGUGUAGUGAGACAUGGUAUGAUGGUAGUACUAUGAUAGGUAGUAGAGAUGUGUAGUGAGACGUGGUAUGAUGGUAGUACUAUGAUAGGUCAGGUGGAUUUAUGCUGUUUAUAAAGCCUCUGCUGAAAUAAGGAACUUGACUGUUUCAGAAGGAAGAUAGGAUGUUAUGUUCUGGUGCUCUGGCCUGGCCUCAGCCCAGUUUAAACUGUCUGGUGUGUUGAUAGACAUGUUUGACAAAAAGCAUAGUUACAUAGAUAUAUGUGUGUGUGUAUACUUAUCUUGUUUAAACUUGAGAUGAGGUUGUCCCCACCAGCCUUUUGUAAUUAUGUUGUUUUGUUUCUGUGUGUGUGUGUGUGUGUGUGUGUGUGUGUGUGUGUGUGUGUGUGUGUGUGUGUGUGUGUGUGUGUGUGUGUGUGUGUGUGUGUGUGUGUGUGUGUGUGUGUGUGUGUGUGUGUGUGUGUGUGUGUGUGUGUGUGUGUGUGUGUGUGUGUGUGUGGUGUUCUCUCCUAUGGACUCUGAUCACUAGCCCUAACACUCAUAAGGUCCAGAGAGAAAAGACAGAUAACAGUCAUUAUUACCUUCUGUAUUAGUGGGGACCACUUUUGUAAAACCAACCAAUAAAGAUGCACAUAGUCGACUAACGGCGUAGACUUGGUACUGUUUCCAGCACUUUCUAAACCCAGAGGAACGGAUCUGGUCUAAACCCUCAUCUCAGACCAAGGCCUUUCCCAGAGGUAUAACAUUCAUUCAAUUCAGACAGAAUGAAAGAGAGAGAGAGAGAGAGAGAGAGAGAGAAAGAAGGAGAGGAUAAGAGAUGGGAGAGACUGUUCAGAUUCAUUUCUUUGCACACGGCCUGGUUGAAAAACCGUAGUGUUUCCACUCUUUCAUUUCGCCUACCGUCCGACACGUUCUUGGGUCCAACGUGUUGAGACGCGAGGCGGUUUCUUGGUCCCGUGUUUCUAAACAGAAGGGCCUUUUUCAUGGACACACACCCACUUUUCUGUGUUCAAUUUGGUCCUAUAGUAUAAAAGACCUUUGGUUUCUUUAUUAAUUUACCUUUUUCAGAAUAGAUGGGUUAGCUGACAACGUCAUGAAAACUACGGGCAUGCUUCAAAGGGGCACAAGUCCAUGUGUUGUGGUUCUGGGUGGGCAGAUAGCACCAAGACAAGAAGCUGCCAUGUGGGGAAUCGUAGGUGGCUCGUUUCAGCUAGUGUCAUCUUGUUCUUGAUACCAUGUCUUGUUUUGACUGAUGUCACAUCAAUGCUAAUAUGGCAAAAAUUCACUAGCUAGCUAACCAACAACUGUAACGAUGUAUUUGAGAGACAACAAGUGCUCAUUGUGCAAAUAUAUUUGAGUUUUCAAAAAACAAUAGGGACGAAAUAUAGUUUACAUGUUAUCAACCAUGUAAGCCAACCCCGUUUUGCCCCAUAGUUGCGCACACGUGCGUUUUGUUGCUAAACAACCAACCCGUCUAUAGGACCUUUUCCGGUUUCCACUACUUACCACAGCCACAAAGUAAGAAUUGGCUAUAUGGUUAAAAUGCAUGUAAACCCAAAUCAGCUUUUUGUUCUUACUUUAAGGUUAGGCAUAAGGUUAGCAGUGUGAUUAGGGUUAGGUUUAAAAUCCCAUUUUAAGAAGAGAAUUUGUUGAAAUAGGUGGGGUUUAUGACUUUGUGACUGUGGUACCAAGUGACAACCACCUUUUCCUUGUGUUGGUCUCCUUUGUAGCACUCGAGACGUGAUUGGACGUCUGUUUAGGGAAUGUGUCAUGUGACUUUCUGACAAGCCUCCUCAUUGGAGGAGCACACCCAGCUGACCUUGUCUGUUUUUAUUGGCUUAUUUACUUACUUCUUGCACAAAUAACUAAUAAUAUGAAUGUUGGUAUGAGCUUCAGCGUUUCAAAAUGAAAAGUAAUGUGUUGUUGUUUUUAUUGUUUAUCGCCAUGUUGUUGUUUUACUUUUGUUUCUUUCUUGGCAAAAAGAUUUUGGCACCUUUUUGGUUUUAAAAUGAACAGAAUUCAAUCAGGAUUCCUUUGUUAAAACUUGACUGUUGUUUGACGUCUUGUCAAUAAAUGUCCGUACCGCUGGAUAACCAACUCAGGCAGAGAAAACGUAAACACGUCCACAACCCCAAUGGUUAAGUUUCACCUCGAUUUAAUGUGGAUGGGCUGUUCGAUAUGGAUUAUUACUAUUUUGAAUGAUUAUAUUUAUAUAAUAAAUAUAUAAAUAUAAUGUAUUGUAUGGAUUAUUGUUCUGAUAUUUUUACAUGCUGGAAAUGGCUGCAUGCUCUCAAUGUGGAGGUUCAGUAAGGAUAAACGGGUUGUCCUGGUCCUGCAGUGAAGUAGCAUCAUCUAUCUUUAUCCCACUCUAUCUCCAAUGACCAGUUGACAGACAAACAUACAGUCACUCACUCUGACCUCUCACCUUUGACCCCUACACACUGAAUGCCAGGGAUGGGUCUUCUGUCAGCUGGGGUUCAUUAAAUGUUGUCUGUCUACUGGUCACAACACACAGCCUAGUGGUUAAAGACACGCCUGGGAGU
rnacentral:lncRNA from 1 species